AGGACGAACGCUGGCGGCGUGCUUAACACAUGCAAGUCGAGCGGAAAGGCCCUUCGGGGUACUCGAGCGGCGAACGGGUGAGUAACACGUGAGCAACCUGCCCCUGGCUCUGGGAUAGCCUCCGGAAACGGGGAUUAAUACCGGACAUUCACUUCCUUCCGCAUGGUUGGUGGUGGAAAGUUUUUCGGCCGGGGAGGGGCUCGCGGUCUAUCAGCUUGUUGGCGGGGUAACGGCCCACCAAGACGACGACGGAUAG
rnacentral:rRNA from 1 species